AUGGUCAGGGAGGAGAGAGGUUGUGGAGGAGAGAAGGUCGGGGAGGAGAGAGGUCGGGGAGGAGAGAAGGUCGGUGAGGAGAGAGGUCGGGGAGGAGAGACGUCGGGGAGGAGAGAGGUCGGGGAGGAGAGAAGGUCGGGGAGGAGAGAGGUUGUGGAGGAGAGAAGGUCGGGGAGGAGAGAGGUCGGGGAGGAGAGAGGUCGGGGAGGAGAGACGUCGGGGAGGAGAGAGGUUGUGGAGGAGAGAAGGUCGGGGAGGAGAGAGGUUGUGGAGGAGAGAAGGUCGGGGAGGAGAGAGGUCGGGGAGGAGAGAGGUCGGGGAGGAGAGAGGUCGGGGAGGAGAGACGUCGGGGAGGAGAGAGGUUGUGGAGGAGAGACGUCGGGGAGGAGAGAGGUCGGGGAGGAGAGACGUCGGGGAGGAGAGAGGUUGUGGAGGAGAGACGUCGGGGAGGAGAGAGGUUGUAGGGAGGAGAGAAGGUCGUGGAGGAGAGAAGGUCGUGGAGGAGAGAGGUCGGGGAGGAGAGAGGUUGUGGAGGAGAGAAGGUCGGGGAGGAGAGAAGGUCGGGGAGGAGAGAGGUCGGGGAGGAGAGACGUUGGGGAGGAGAGAGGUUGUGGAGGAGAGAAGGUCGGGGAGGAGAGAAGGUCGGGGAGGGAGAGAGGUUGUGGAGGAGAGAAGGUCGGGGAGGAGAGAAGGUCGGGGAGGAGAGAGGUCGGGGAGGAGAGAGGUUGUGGAGGAGAGAAGGUCGGGGAGGAGAGAAGGUCGGGGAGGAGAGAGGUCGGGGAGGAGAGACGUCGGGGAGGAGAGAGGUUGUGGAGGAGAGAAGGUCGGGGAGGAGAGAAGGUCGGGGAGGAGAGAAGGUCGUGGAGGAGAGAGGUCGGGGAGGAGAGAGGUUGUGGAGGAGAGAAGGUCGGGGAGGAGAGAAGGUCGGGGAGGAGAGAGGUCGGGGAGGAGAGACGUUGGGGAGGAGAGAGGUUGUGGAGGAGAGAAGGUUGGGGAGGAGAGAAGGUCGGGGAGGAGAGAAGGUCGUGGAGGAGAGAGUUCGGCCGAAGGUGA
rnacentral:lncRNA from 1 species